AUUCUCAAGCUCUUUGGUGAUGCUUCGGGCCUCAAUGCAAACAUUGCAAAAACUAUAGCAUACCCCAUUGCUUGCACGAACUUGGAUCUCACUACAUUGCUAGCACAGUUUGGUGUGUUGAUGGGGUCUUUCCCUUGUAAGUACCUGGGACUGCCACUUGGACUUAGGAAGCCGAGAAGGGUCGAGGUUCAGCCGGUGCUCGACAAAAUUGCUGGGAAGCUCUCUCCCCGAAAGGGUCGUCUCAUGAAUCGGAUGGGCCGGUUGGUCUACAUCAACUCUGUUGUCACUGCCACAACAACUUUUUUCUUGACGACUUUUUAG
rnacentral:rRNA from 1 species